AAGAAAGUGACAGAGGGGCUAUGUGGCUGGCUUGAAACCAGUUUAUGGGGGUUCAACUCCCUCCUUUCUCG
rnacentral:tRNA from 1 species